rnacentral:rRNA from 1 species
UACGAAGGGUGCAAGCGUUGAUCGGAAUUACUGGGCGUAAAGGGUGCGUAGGCGGUUCGUUAAGUCUGGCGUGAAAUCCCCGGGCUCAACCUGGGAAUGGCGAUGGAUACUGGCGAGCUAGAGUGUGUCAGAGGAUGGUGGAAUUCCCGGUGUAGCGGUGAAAUGCGUAGAGAUCGGGAGGAACAUCAGUGGCGAAGGCGGUCAUCUGGGACAACACUGACGCUGAAGCACGAAAGCGUGGGGAGCAAACAGG